ACACAAUCUGCGUUCUGUGAUUUCUAUGUGUCUUUAAAACCAGGAGCUGCCAUUGCUUCAGUGAGCUGUUCUGGUUUUCUUAUUUCCUCUCUUCGGUGCCAAUGAGAGUUAAAUAUGAAGCAGUCGCACUGUAGUUACAAAGAUGGAUGAAGGAAAACUGGACCCAAUCUCAUGAUCUCUGCUAAUGACACUGUUUCCAGGAUCUUCCAAGGUUCCUCAGUGGUUAGGAGCUGACCUCGUGUGGUGGAAAGCUGAGAAGCAGCCAAGUGACCAACCAGUCAAGCAGUUGGAAGAAAGGAAUCAAUGACUGAUGAAAACACUCCCUGCAACUUUUGAUAUUUCAUUUAGGCAAGGAACCAGCGAGACUGUGGUCUACAAAUUGCUCUGUAGAAACUGAAACAAUGUACGCUUUGUGCCCCUUUUGAAAUUUAACAAUGAUGAUUGUAAUAAUAGAGUGUCUGUGCAUUAAUAGAAGCUUGGGAGGGGAAGGCCAGUGACCUCAUGCAAAUUGGUAACUUGUGUUUGUUUUAAGUAGUGGCUGGAGGUCCGUGGGGAAGGAAGAGUGAGGAGGAGACUGAAUGUCUGAUAAAAUGAGGAUUGAACUUGUUCUCUGGUUAAAAGGAGA